GCAGAACUUGAGAAGGUACAAGUGAGCUGUAUAAAUAGGGUGCCUUAAAUGGGAACUAGACAUUCGUAUUCAGCGAUUAGUUCAAACCAUAAUGAAGCUCUACCUAGGACUCCUUCUGGCCGUUGUCUUGCCGCUUCUUAUAUCUGCAAAGAGGGCGGAUCCCCCACUCGGACCUUAUGCCGAAAAUUAAAAGAAAAGAUUAUAGAACUUUCUGUACCCUUAUGUCAUUAAAAUGAACAAUAUGUGAGCUUGGCUUGGUCAUCCUGAAUGUAUAUAAAUCAAAAUGCGCGCCAAACAAUCGAUUAGUGCUAACUCCAGCAACUCAAGAGACAAUGUCGCCAGGUGGCGCCUAAUACCACAGCCGUUACGUUUGAACAUCAAUUUAAAUCAAGCACUAAGAUUAAGUCAUCUUAUUAUCUUAAGCACAGCGCGUAUGCCUUGGACAGGAGUCAAGCUGCUCCCAAACAGAUUGCGUGAAGAACG